AGCCAGACUCCUACGGGAGGCAGCAGUGGGGAAUAUUGCACAAUGGGGGAAACCCUGAUGCAGCGACGCCGCGUGAGUGAAGAAGUAUUUCGGUAUGUAAAGCUCUAUCAGCAGGGAAGAAAAUGACGGUACCUGACUAAGAAGCCCCGGCUAACUACGUGCCAGCAGCCGCGGUAAUACGUAGGGGGCAAGCGUUAUCCGGAUUUACUGGGUGUAAAGGGAGCGUAGACGGCAUGGCAAGUCAGAUGUGAAAGCCCGGGGCUCAACCCCGGGACUGCAUUUGAAACUGUCAGGCUGGAGUGCAGGAGAGGUAAGUAGAAUUCCUAGUGUAGCGGUGAAAUGCGUAGAUAUUAGGAGGAACACCAGUGGCGAAGGCGGCUUACUGGACUGUAACUGACGUUGAGGCUCGAAAGCGUGGGGAGCAAACAGGAUUAGAUACCCCGGUA
rnacentral:rRNA from 1 species